rnacentral:rRNA from 1 species
GAUGAACGCUGGCGGCGUGCCUAAUACAUGCAAGUCGAGCGAACAGAUGAGGAGCUUGCUCCUCUGACGUUAGCGGCGGACGGGUGAGUAACACGUGGAUAACCUACCUAUAAGACUGGGAUAACUUCGGGAAACCGGAGCUAAUACCGGAUAAUAUAUUGAACCGCAUGGUUCAAUAGUGAAAGACGGUUUUGCUGUCACUUAGAGAUGGAUCCGCGCCGCAUUAGCUAGUUGGUAAGGUAACGGCUUACCAAGGCAACGAUGCGUAGCCGACCUGAGAGGGUGAUCGGCCACACUGGACCUGAGACCCGGUCCAGACUCCUACGGGAGGCCGCAGUCGGGCAUCUUCCGCACUGCGCGCAAGCCUGACGGAGCAACGCCGCGUGAGUGAUGAAGGUCUUCGGAUCGUAAAACUCUGUUAUUAGGGAAGAACAAAUGUCUCAGUAACUAUGCACGUCUUGACGGUACCUAAUCAGAAAGCCACGGCUAACUACGUG